AUUUUUGCACUUUCUAUUGUGUUACGUGUGGAUUCUUGUAUGAUGGUGAGAAUUCAUAAUUGUGGAUAUGCAGAACCUGCUUUCACUCUAAGCACUGCUUAAAUUGGCUUGUCAGCUAAGUCUUUUGCUUUAUUAAAAGGCUUAGAUGAGCAUGUUUUCUUCAAUUCAAAGUAAUUUCCCUCAACUUAAAUGUGUGGGCUUUAUUUCAGCUGCUUUAUGUUAACCUUAAACUGAAACUGGUAGCCUUCUUUUUGUUUCUCUCCAUGAACAGAACAAGCAGCUCUUCUUAGGAGUCAACAUGUAUGGACCUCUCAAGUUUCUCAACUGUAUGAGAAAUGAGGCUGCCCUUGCAUGUUCCAUAGUUCAACUCUACAGAAAGGGAAUGAAGUAAUAUACUGAUACCUGCCAGAGCUGUGUGUAGUGCUGUGCAUGUGCCAAGAAAUCUGUGAGUGAACCUGUCCUGGAGAUGUGCACUGUGGGCUUUCCACGAACCCUCACAUUUCACACUCCACUGCUGGGACUGCCUACUGGUGAACAUGCCCCUUGCCCUAGCUGCAGGAGAGAAGCUGCUUACAGAUCCGUUCCUCUCACCUCAGAUCAUCUGGAACAGCUUUCUGGAACAGAAGAAAGCUCAGAAGACGACCCUAUCUCUGAAGACUAAGAAGCAAGAGCUUUUGGGGAAAGAGAGUUUGUCUCCACUGUCUUUUGGGCUUGCACAGGAACUCUGAAUGAGGACUGCCUUACUUAUCUCUGCUCCAGCAGCAUUUAUCAUCAGCAACUGUAUCAUACUAUAUCUAUGACAUAAGAAGCAGUUUCAAAGCUUUCUGAUGGCAGACACCAUCCUGGAUCUUCUGGGUAAGAUCAGAGCCAACGCUUGUGAGAACAAUUAGACCUACAAAUUUUAUAGACAAAAACAUCCUUUAUUGUGUCCUUUGGCUGGCACUAGGCAUUGUUCAAGAAAAAAAGGAUCUUGAUUUUGGGUUGAUAUGUCCAAGAAAAUGGUAUGCAUCUGACUCUGGCAACCACUUUGGAUGCUUUUGAGAAUUUACAUUAUCAGACAUCUCCACCUCCAGUGGAUAUGUGAUUCAGAAUAGUAUCUGCGGCAUUCAGUAAUUCAAAUGCAAAUAGAAAGCUGCUGCAUCUUGAAAUAAUGCUGGCUCAGAGAUAGUUUGCUAGUCAUUAUACAGUUUGCUUAAAAUAAUUUAGUGAAAUAAUAUCUCACGGUUGCAUACAAUUAUUUUUGAUUGCUUUCUUAAAUGUGAUCAUAAAAUUUUAUAGUGCCCUUUCUACAACACCUACCAUUUUCCUGACCGGUUAAUGAAUGAUUCUGAGUUACAGCACCUCCAUCUUGUGGUAAACUUGAGAAAUAAAUCUUUCUUAAUGCUAUCUGCCA
rnacentral:lncRNA from 1 species